CUACGGGGCGCUCCAGUAAGGAAUAUUGCGCAAUGGAGGCAACUCUGACGCAGCCAUGCCGCGUGCAGGAAGAAGGCCUUAUGGGUCGUAAACUGCUUUUAUUUAGGAAUAAACCCCCGAACGUGUUCAGGGCUGAAGGUACUAAACGAAUAAGCACCGGCUAACUCCGUGCCAGCAGCCGCGGUAAUACGGAGGGUGCAAGCGUUAUCCGGAUUUAUUGGGUUUAAAGGGUGCGCAGGCGGGCUAUUAAGUCAGUGGUGAAAUCCCGGGGCUCAACUCCGGAACUGCCAUUGAUACUGAUAGUCUUGAGUUUGGUUGAAGUGGGCGGAAUGUAGCAUGUAGCGGUGAAAUGCAUAGAUAUGCUACAGAACACCUAUCGCGAAGGCAGCUCACUAAGCCAAAACUGACGCUCAUGCACGAAAGCGUGGGGAUCAAACAGGAUUAGAUACCCCCGUAGUC
rnacentral:rRNA from 1 species